UUCUCUUGUAUUCCAAGUGAAGACACCUAUCUUCCUCUUCAUAUCCGAAUCUUGUGGUCGAGUCUGACGAAUUCUCCAAGAGAUGUCUAUAUUAACUCCUUUUUUGCUUGAUCCAGGCUGCGACUCGUUGCUCACUUAUUACUGUGAUACUUGUCAGCUCCUUUAAGAAGGUCAAGAUGUGACGGCUCUCGAAUAAUCUUU
rnacentral:lncRNA from 1 species